GGAAAAAAAAAAAAAAAAAAGAGAACUUGUAAGUUGGGUAGCAUCUAAAUCUGCAUCAGCUAGCAUUAUUUUAGUUUCCAAAUGCUUUUACCUAUAUGAGAAAUGAACCUUGUUUUGAAAUUUAAAUAGAAGCUAGUUAUUUCCUGGAAUUUGAUCUUCCAAUUUCCAAUGUGCACAGUUCAAGAAAUCCAUUUUCCUACAAAUUUC
rnacentral:misc_RNA from 1 species